rnacentral:rRNA from 1 species
CUGGAUGGUAGUGUAUUGGACUACCAUGGCGUUCACGGGUAACGGAGAAUUAGGGUUCGAUUCCGGAGAAGGAGCCUGAGAAACGGCUACUACAUCUAAGGAAGGCAGCAGGCGCGUAAAUUACCCAAUCCUGACUCAGGGAGGUAGUGACAAGAUAUAAGAACGCGGUCAAGUAUCGUGAUUUUAGUGAGGGUUUUCUAAACCGAACUUCGAGUACGAUUGGAGGGCAAGUCUGGUGCCAGCAGCCGCGGUAAUUCCAGCUCCAAUAGCGUAUAUUAAAGUUGUUGCAGUUAAAAAGCUCGUAGUUGGAUUUCAUAGUGGAAAUAAGGUAAAACUUGUUGAAACUAAAUACUCCGCAAGGAGUGUUACUGUGAGAAAAUUAGAGUGUUUCAAGCAGGCAAUUGCAGGAAUACAUUAGCAUGGAAUAACGAGUGUGUCUAGAAUCUUGGUUAAUUCUAGAAAACGAUUAAUAGGGACAGUUGGGGGCAUUAGUAUUUAAUUGUCAGAGGUGAAAUUCUUGGAUUUAUUAAAGACUAACAUAUGCGAAAGCAUUUGCCAAGGAUGUUUUCAUUAAUCAAGAACGAAAGAUUGGGGAUCAAAGACGAUCAGAUACCGUC